AGACAUUUAGUAAUAUUUAUAAUUUUGUAAAGUUAUUUUUACAAUUCCACAAGAGCUAAAAAAUCGUUUGAUCGGUAUAAGCAGAGAAUGAGGAGAAAUAUGACUAAAGUUGUAAAGUUUGUUUAUCUCAUGAUUUUCAUUCUUUCUCUAUUUCUUGCUGCAACAAACGUUGAAUGUAAGCCAUUUGUAUCUUUUUUUCAAAUUUUCUUAUUUACUUUUUGCACAAUAUUUUAACUAAUCUAAUUUACUUACUUUAUCAUUUUUUUUCUUCUUUCAGCUUGGCAUGGUAGUAGACGUUGUUUAACAGAUUCAGAUUGUAAUAAAAAUAAGUGUAGAAAACCUACUAUAAUUAAAUGUGUCGAUCGUCUUUGUACAUGUAUUGCGGUAUUUCAACCCCAAUCCUAGAGUACCCAAUUUCACUAAAACAAUUUUUCUAUCACUUAAUUAUUAUGUUUGUAUUAGCACCCUAUAAUUUUAUUUUUCCUUCUAUAUCUAAUAUCAAGACUAGUAUUUUUAUCACUGUAAUAUAACACGAUGGAUAUGAAAUAAAAUAAGGCGUCCUUUAAUAUUAGUUAGUUCAUUUUCUUCUAUUUAAUUUUAGAUAUAUUGCAAUAACCUUCGAUUAAGGCAUUUUAAUUUUUCAUACACUUAUAAAGUUGAAUAUAAAUUUGUUAAGGUUGCUUCUGAGCCUACAUUGUUAUAUAUAUAUAUAUUUAUAAUACUAUAUAAUAUAUAUAUAUAUUAUAUAUGUAUUUAUUCUAUUUCUUAUUAUAUUAUAUAUAUAUAUAUAUAUAUUGGAGUUAGUAUGGUUCAAACUAAUCCUUAUCUAAAAAAUAUUGUAGUUAAUAACAAUAAUAAUUAUCGCAGGUGUGUUCCAAAAGAACAAGAAAAUGUACAAGCAAGGAAAUGAGUAAUCAAUACAUGGAAAAUAGUUCCACCUAAAAAAAGUAUCACUUACUUUAAAAGCCCUUAUAAAGAGUUACAUUAAUUAAUUCAACAAAACAGUUAAAUAGAAUAAAGUGUCACAUGCAAAAAUGGCUCUAGGCCUGGGGAGGAAUAGGAAGAUAUAGAGAAAUCCAAGCCUGCAAGAAGAAAAAUGACGAUAUGAAGAACUAUUUUGGACCUAAUCGGGAAUAUUAAUCUUUAGAAAUACACAGGUCCAGGUCUGAGGGUCUGGGCAUAGAGACGCUAGUUGCGACUCGUAGGGAGUAGGCAACUAGGCAAUGUUUGUGAAGUAUUGGAGUAGGCGAAAAGCUGUAACAUUUAAUAAAAAGUAUUGUUGAAAGGAUGUGUUUCAUCAAGGGUCGCAACCUUGUGAAACAACACUACAUGGCAUAAAAUUGAUCAUUCUAGAUUAAAAAAAACAUUACAAAAGUACACCCUAUUCAAUAAAAAUUCCAGAUUUCACUUUCUCU
rnacentral:lncRNA from 1 species